rnacentral:miRNA from 1 species
UUAAUACAUAGAUCAAAUUUGCAAAUUUUUAAAAAAUUUAAAAAUUAUUUAAUAAAUGAUUUUAUAAUUAUCCGUUAAUUUAAAUUAAUGAAAUAAAAUAUCAAAUAAUUUUUAAAUUUUUUAAAAAUUUACAGACUUAAUAUAUACAUUAA